GUUGGCGGUAGUGCGGGUUGGAGGCAUCUGCUGGCGGCGAGGAAAAGAACAGAAGCAGAGAAGAAUGUUCACCUCUUUAUCAGACUGAAGUUUCUAUCAUCUUUUAGAAACGGGGGCUCAGAAGCACAGUGACAUCCGGCCAAAAAUAUUCAAAUGGGUCCUCCUUAAAAUUGUUGCUCCCCACUCCACGCCUCCACCCCCCCCUCCCCAUUUUCUCUUUUUUAAUUCUGUAGCAGUCAUUACCCAGGGACCGGAUACAGAGAUCUCUAUGGGGAGUUCUAAUGGGCCGAUUCAGUUUCAACUGGAUGACGCCACUUAGCCAAGCAUUAAGAGCUCCAGCUCCGGGAAGGCAAACGACACAGAGAGAGGGAGAGGGAGAGGGAGAGAGAGAGAGAGAGAGAGAGAGAGAGAGAGAGAAAGAAAUUAUAACAAGGAGCAAUAAAUCCCUCCCCUCCCAUCCUCCCCUAUAACCCAUUCACAAGACCUCCAGAAAUCAUCUACAUUCACAAAACAGCGAGCCUGCUCAACUGAAUACACAGCAACCAUAUCCACUCUUCUCUCUCUCUCUCUCUCCCUCUCUCCCUCUCCCUCCCUUUCCAUCCUUUUAGAUUAUAUCCACACAUACUGAGUCUAGAGUUAUAGAAUGAGACACAGGCAGCAUCUAUUGCUGCGCUGAGAUUUACUGAAUCCUACAACUGCAGUUCCUGCUUCUGUUCAUCUGUCAGAUCGGAGAAGGAGGAGGAGGAGGAGGAGGAAAAGGAGGAGGAGGAGGAGAAAAAACAGGACUUGCAUUGCCUGGGUUUCUUUGGGGAAUAUGUGCAUCUUGAUUUAUAUCUGUAUGUAAAACCUAUACAGAGUAUCUGCCACCCGAGGAGGAGUGUUCAUUCAGACUUUCUGAAAAGAGCUGGAGAGACAGAGAGGGAGAAUCAAGGAAAGAAGAGGUUCCUGAAUCCGGCUGGGAGAUUAGUUCCACGGCUCUCAGCAACAUGGAUCUCCACGCUCAUCGAGGUUUUUCCGACGUGCCCUGAUGCCAGAGUGACGGCCGGCCCGCUCUCUCUCCGUGCCCACCGCAAGCGUCCACCCGACCGCCCUCCCCGCCGCCCCUCCAGACCCCCUAAG
rnacentral:lncRNA from 1 species